GUAUAAUUAAUGAGAAC
rnacentral:sRNA from 1 species